AGAUGUUGGGUUAAGUCCCGCAACGAGCGCAACCCUUGAUCUUAGUUGCCAGCAUUUCGGAUGGGCACUCUAAGGUGACUGCCGGUGACAAACCGGAGGAAGGUGGGGAUGACGUCAAAUCAUCAUGCCCCUUAUGACCUGGGCUACACACGUACUACAAUGGCCGGUACAACGGGCUGUGAAGCCGCGAGGUGGAACGAAUCCUAAAAAGCCGGUCUCAGUUCGGAUUGCAGGCUGCAACUCGCCUGCAUGAAGUCGGAAUUGCUAGUAAUCGCGGAUCAGCAUGCCGCGGUGAAUACGUUCCCGGGUCUUGUACACACCGCCCGUCACACCACGAGAGUUUAUAACACCCGAAGUCGGUGGGGUAACCGCAAGGA
rnacentral:rRNA from 1 species